GAUGAACGCUGGCGGCGUGCUUAACACAUGCAAGUCGAACGAAGCACUCCGAGAUCUUCGGAAGGAAGAGUGACUGAGUGGCGGACGGGUGAGUAACGCGUGGGUAACCUGCCUUACAGAGGGGGAUAACAGUUGGAAACGGCUGCUAAUACCGCAUAAGCGCACGGAAUCGCAUGAUUCAGUGUGAAAACUCAGGUGCUGUAAGAUGGACCCGCGUUGGAUUAGCUAGUUGGUGAGGUAACGGCCCACCAAGGCGACGAUCCAUAGCCGGCCUGAGAGGGUGACCGGCCACAUUGGGACUGAGACACGGCCCAA
rnacentral:rRNA from 1 species